rnacentral:rRNA from 1 species
AUUGAACGCUAGCGGGAUGCUUUACACAUGCAAGUCGAACGGCAGCGCGGACUUCGGUCUGGCGGCGAGUGGCGAACGGGUGAGUAAUGUAUCGGAACGUGCCCAGUAGCGGGGGAUAACUACGCGAAAGCGUAGCUAAUACCGCAUACGCCCUACGGGGGAAAGCAGGGGAUCGUAAGACCUUGCACUAUUGGAGCGGCCGAUAUCGGAUUAGCUAGUUGGUGAGGUAACGGCUCACCAAGGCGACGAUCCGUAGCUGGUUUGAGAGGACGACCAGCCACACUGGGACUGAGACACGGCCCAGACUCCUACGGGAGGCAGCAGUGGGGAAUUUUGGACAAUGGGGGCAACCCUGAUCCAGCCAUCCCGCGUGUGCGAUGAAGGCCUUCGGGUUGUAAAGCACUUUUGGCAGGAAAGAAACGUCGCGGGCUAAGACCCCGUGGAACUGACGGUACCUGCAGAAUAAGCACCGGCUAACUACGU